rnacentral:tRNA from 1 species
GGGUGCUUAGCUCAGUUGGUAGAGCGCCGCUCUUACACAGCGAUGGUCGGCGGUUCGAGCCCGUCAGCACCCACCA